AUUUUAAUGGCGGAAGCAUCCUACGAGCAAAAUGCAUACACUGUAGGUGGAAGGGCUUCUGGAGCCGGGCAGUUUCCAGCCGUAGAAGAGCUCUCCUCUGUCCCUUCGUUGCUGGCCUGGGCUCAACACUCCCUAGCGCAACCACCCAGCUUCCGUGGGUGCGGGGCUUCGCUUUCCCCCUCGACAAAUCGCUGGCCGGGUCUGGCAGAAGAGGCAGGACCCCGCAGGCCGCGGCCGGCGUCCGGCCCGAGCCGCCGAAAGCUUUUCCCGGGCUCAGAGCCCGGGGGUUACCUUCGGCCCCCGCCCCCCACCCCGGCUCCGGCGCCCCCUUUGCCCAGGAGAUUGGCAGUCCCCUCUGCCCGCUUCGGGCGGGUCGCGCUUCCUCACCUGGGAGGCGGGCUCCGGAGGUUCCAGCGCAGGCCGAGCGAGGUCCACAAAGCCCAGGGCGCCCCGGCCUCACAGACGUGGGGAGCUCCCGGCAAGCCCAAGGGCCGCCACGCAGCAGGAGCAGCAACGCGGAGAACCAGCCCCGCGGAGGAUGAGGAGGGGAGGCGGGGGCAGGUGGGUCAGCGCUGGAAGCGAGAGAUGCGUUCCGCUCUCGGUCCGACCUGAAAUGGCAGCCCUGCCCCCGGUGCGCUGGCUCCGAGCUCGAUCGCCUCCGGAGGAAGUAACUCGGUCGUCACCGACUCCUACGGCUCCUCAGGGGCGGGGAAAGCAGGGAGGGAGGCGGAGGAGGAGGGGCUUCGCGUCCUCCGCCUAGGCCGGCUCUCCCUAAUUUUUUUUCUCGUUUCUCGUCUUCCUCGCUCCUGACACCUAUGGCCGUCUUAUCUUCUCGCCUCCUUUCUCUGUCCCCCCCUUUUAUACUUUCACUUGUUCGGCUUCGCUCCAGACUAAGAAACUCAAGCCCUCCACGUCGCCCAUCCCUCUUGUGUUUUAUUCACAACAUAGUGUCAAUGGCGUCUCGGUUGCCGUCUCCUUCCUCUCCCCGCAGCAAAAAAGCUCGGCCCGAGGCAGCACAACUCACAGUACAGGGCCGGCUGCGCACUAAGCUCGAUGAGCAGUUUCCUGGCCAAAUAAGGCGGUAGGACUACGUGUCUCUGUACCACGACAAAUGUUUCUGUAAUUCCCCUCCCCCCUCCCUUUCCCUUCCUUCCCAUCCAUCCUCUUUCCCUCGCUUCCUUCCUUAAUUUCUUCCUAUCUCUCUCCCUUCUUCCCUCCCUCCCUUAAUUCCUUUCUUCCCUCCCUUCUCCUUCCCUCCCUUCUUUGGUUUUUCUCUCUCUCCCUUUCUUUUCCUCUUUCCCCUCUUCCCUUCCAACUCUCUCCCUCCCUCCCUCCCUCCUCCCCUUCCUCCUCCCCUCCUUC
rnacentral:lncRNA from 1 species